GUGUCAGCAGCCGCGGUAAUACGUAGGAGGCGAGCGUUAUCCGGAUUUACUGGGCGUAAAGCGCGCGCAGGCGGCUUCGUAAGUCGGAUGUGAAAGCCCCUGGCUCAACUGGGGGAGGCCAUUCGAUACUGCGAGGCUUGAGGUCGGGAGAGGGGUGUGGAAUUCCCGGUGUAGUGGUGGAAUGCGUAGAUAUCGGGAGGAACACCAGUGGCGAAGGCGGCACCCUGGCCCGCACCUGACGCUCAGGCGCGAAAGCGUGGGGAGCGAACGGGAUUAGAUACCCCGGUAGUCCACGCCGUAAACGAUGGCGACUAGGUGUUGGGGCGGAGAGCUUCAGCGCCGGAGCGAACGCGAUAAGUCGACCGCCUGGGGAGUACGGCCGCAAGGCUAAAACUUAAAGGAAUUGACGGGG
rnacentral:rRNA from 1 species